rnacentral:lncRNA from 1 species
GCUAGCUCAUAGGGGAGGAUUGCCCAAGUCUAUAUAAUGAGAUAACCAGUCCAUUCCCCACCCAAUGUUGGACUCUAACCCGCUCUAAUAUAGAACAAUGGAUGUCUUCAAAAUAUUCCUUCUAGGAAUAAGGAAAAAAAGAUUCUCACAAUGGAAAUGGCAGGAAGUAGCACACAUGGUCCCAAAAACUGCAAAGCUGAAGAGGAGAAUGAUUUGGUUUUUCAAAAUUAGCCCAGUUUGAUUUUUUAUUUUUCAAAUAUUAGUUUUGCGGACGAAAGGGGUUCUUGGUCCAUUGUUUU